rnacentral:rRNA from 1 species
AGGAUAAACGCUGGCGGCGUGCCUAAUACAUGCAAGUCGAGCGGCAGCGCGGUCUUCGGACUGGCGGCGAGCGGCGGACGGCUGAGUAACACGUAGGAACGUACCCCAAAGUGAGGGAUAAGCACCAGAAAUGGUGUCUAAUACCGCAUGUGCUCUAAGGAGUAAAGCUUCGGCGCUUUGGGAACGGCCUACGCAUGAUUAGCUUGUUGGUGAGGUAAUGGCUCACCAAGGCGACGAUCAUUAGCUGGUCUGAGAGGAUGAUCAGCCAGACUGGGACUGAGAACGGCCCAGACUCCUACGGGAGGCAGCAGUAGGGAAUUUUCCACAAUGGGCGAAAGCCUGAUGGAGCAACGCCGCGUGCAGGAUGAAGGCCUUAGGGUUGUAAACUGCUUUUAUGUGUGACGAAUAGUGACGGUAGCAUAUGAAUAAGGAUCGGCUAACUCCGUGCCAGCAGCCGCGGU